rnacentral:misc_RNA from 1 species
ACCCACAUAACCACGGUACAG